CACCUCCAUAGGCAUAAUGCCUCGCACUAAGCAGUCGCAUCACAAUGGUAACAGUAUGUCCCCAGCAUUCUCCAGAAAAUGAGUAAUGAAGCAAGGACCCUCAUGACACAUCUAUGUGGUGCAAGGAACUUGAGCAAACUCAAGAUGCUUGAUGCUCCCCUGAGCAAUAGGAGGAAGGAGCAAAUUUCUCCUUGGAACAUGGCUUGAGAGUUACUCCUCGAUGCUGCUAUGGCUGAGAGCUAUACCAGCUGUAGUUUCUCUGCACAUCCCACUGAUGUUGGUUGGCCAUCCCUGAAUGAAAAGCGAAUGUGCAGGAAA